CACGGUAAACGAUGGAUGCCCGCUGUUUGCGAUAUAUUGUAAGCGGCCAAGCGAAAGCGUUAAGCAUCCCACCUGGGGAGUACGCCGGCAACGGUGAAACUCAAAGGAAUUGACGGGGGCCCGCACAAGCGGAGGAACAUGUGGUUUAAUUCGAUGAUACGCGAGGAACCUUACCCGGGCUUGAACUGCGGAGGAAUGCGGUGGAGACACCAAAGCUCUUCGGAGCCUCCGUGGAGGUGCUGCAUGGUUGUCGUCAGCUCGUGCCGUGAGGUGUCGGCUUAAGUGCCAUAACGAGCGCAACCCCUGCGAUUAGUUGCCAUCAGGUUAAGCUGGGCACUCUGGUCGGACUGCCACCGUAAGGUGUGAGGAAGGUGGGGAUGACGUCAAAUCAGCACGGCCCUUACGUCCGGGGCUACACACGUGUUACAAUGGGUGGUACAGAGAGUCGGUGCAUGGCAAUAUGCAUCCAAUCAUUAAAGCCAUCCUCAGUUCGGAUUGGGGUCUGCAACCCGACC
rnacentral:rRNA from 1 species